rnacentral:tRNA from 1 species
GGGAUAUAGCUUAGUGGCAUAAGCACCUGCCUGGCAAGUGCAAAGACCUGAGUUCAAAUCUCAGUACCCA